CCUAACCUAACGUCGCCGUCCCCAAUCCUCCCUACCAUCGCCGCCACCGCCACCGCCGCCGCCGCCGCCGCCUCCUCCAUUAACGCCGGCCAUUCUUCCCUUGUCCUCCGCCACCACACCACCAUUGCCGCGAAUGCAUGCCUCUUCUUCGAUUGAUUGAAUUCAAAGUGUGACCUUUUUGUUGUCUCAAACGAACGACAAGGGGUGGAAAGGUAGUCGACGCAAGUCGCCAGUUCGAUCUUGACCUCGCUCAUCGGAACUAGACAGCCCAUGAAGAACAAGAAGAAGGGUAGUCGUUGCAACCGCAACAAAUCAGAUCCCGUGAUGCUGGAUGGGUUCACCAAGCUACCUGAAGAUGUCCUGCUCAACAUCCUGGACCGCCUCAACACCCCCGACGCUGUCAGAACCUGCCUCCUUUCUAAGAGGACACUCCAUCUCCGCCAUAUGCUCUCAAACUUACAUAUUCGGAUCAAUUCCUUUGUGCCCCGUUGUGGCUAUGCCACCUUGAAGGAUACAAUUCCCAUGAACGCUGCUGUGGCUGGUGCAACUGACAACAUUCUCAGUUUCAGAAGACAAGAUAUUCCCCUUCGCAAGCUCAGCAUAGGUUUCUACUUGAGAUACUAUGAUUGUCUCACCAUUGGCAAGGCUGUUGCCCGAGCCAUGGCCACCCACAACAUCCACAGCGCUGAGUUCAACAUUCUGACAGAGAAGCCGCCGGACUAUUCAACUAUUGAUGAUCGCCGCCGCGAUGGGAAGCAGCUGAUGACAUUUUUUUGUUCCUGUACUGAUGCAUUUGCCGGCCUUACACGUCUCCACCUACGCAACUUAAAGCUUUGCUGAAACUGACAUUCCCAACAUCAUCGCCACAUGCAAACGGUUAGAGUAUCUGCGUUUGGCCUUGUGUCAAACUGAGGAUAGCGUAUUGCUGCUGUAGUUGGAACACCCACGCCUUGUUGAGCUUGAUAUCUCCAAUGCCAACUUAGAACUAAUCGAGCUCAACUCCCUACCGAACCUCAAACGGCUGGGUUUUGGUGUGUGGGUCUAUCCCCAAGAACCUUGUCUUUUUGCAACGUCCCAUUGCUUUCAAGCCUAAGCCUCACUAAUGUGGCCAUGAGAUGGCAUAAGGUUAUUAGGUUAAGUCAGUUCCUCGCUAAUAUCCUCUUCGUAAAAGACCUGCACCUCAACUUUGCAAGUGAAAAGAUUUGGGUUCAUCCGGAGUGCCCAAAACUGCUGGAGCCUGUUCUUCAGAAUCUGCAAGUUUUGAGUCUGGAUGAACUCCCAGAAGAAUGUGAUAUCGCUUAGACAAGAUUCUUUCUCGAGGCUGCACCCUCCCUGAAGGAGAUGUGCAUCACAGUUUGGGACCAUUGGUGUGAGAUUGAGACAGACAAGGUGAAACGGGAAAAACAGGGUUACUGUGACAAAACAAACGUGGAAUGGGAGUCAUCCGCACCUGAUGGUUUUAGGCAUUACAACCUGACUAAGCUCACCAUCUAUGGUUUCCAACCAAAUGAGAACUUUAUGGGAUACAUCAGGCACGUCAUGGAAGCUGCGGUUAACCUAGAGAACAUAUCCCUGCAUGACAGGAAGGUGCUCAAGUGCUGUGAAGAGUUGGAUCCCAAGAUCAAGGUUGCUCCGUCAAGGUAUCCGCAGACCAUCGAGGAGCAGGAGCUGCUGAGGAAGCAAAUUACAGAGGGAUUGGUGAUGGCGUCGCCUCAUGCAGUUCACUUCCGGUCUUAAUUUUGCUCGGUGCAAAACUGUGAUUCACUGUAUGGUACUGGUAAUAAUAUAUGCUGAAUGUUCCAAUCGUUUCAUGGCAUGCAUUAAAUUUCUCUUGUUUCCUGCAACUUGGUUCCAGGCCGUAUGUAAAGCUUGCUAUACAAUAUUAAUAUAUUUGAAUGUUCUGAAUA